UACGUAGGGCGCAAGCGUUGUCCGGAAUUAUUGGGCGUAAAGAGCUCGUAGGCGGCUUGUCACGUCGGGUGUGAAAGCUCGGGGCUUAACCCCGGGUCUGCAUUCGAUACGGGCUGGCUGGAGUGUGGUAGGGGAGAUCGGAAUUCCUGGUGUAGCGGUGAAAUGCGCAGAUAUCAGGAGGAACACCGAUGGCGAAGGCAGCACUCUGGGACGGUACUGACGCUGAGACGCGAAAGCGUGGGGAGCAAACAGG
rnacentral:rRNA from 1 species